rnacentral:rRNA from 1 species
UACGGAGGGUGCGAGCGUUAAUUGGAAUCACUGGGCGUAAAGCGCGCGUAGGCGGCUUCUCAAGUCAGGGGCGAAAUCCCACGGCCCAACCGUGGAACUGCCUUUGAAACUGUAGAGCUUGAGUGUCGGAGAGGGUGGCGGAAUUCCAGGUGUAGGAGUGAAAUCCGUAGAUAUCUGGAGGAACACCGGUGGCGAAGGCGGCCACUUGGACGACAACUGACGCUGAGGUGCGAAAGCGUGGGUAGCAAACAGG